GUGAAAUUCCGUCGGAAUCUGGGAGGACCAUCUCCUAAGGCUAAAUACUCUCUAGUGACCGAUAGUGAACCAGUACCGUGAGGGAAAGGUGAAAAGCACCCCGGAAGGGGAGUGAAAUAGAACCUGAAACCGUGUGCUUACAAGUAGUCAGAGCCCGUUAAUGGGUGAUGGCGUGCCUUUUGUAGAAUGAACCGGCGAGUUACGAUUUGAUGCAAGGUUAAGCAGUAAAUGUGG
rnacentral:rRNA from 1 species